AGAUAUAUGUGGUACAGGAUUAGAUACCCCAUUAAUGUAUUGUUUAAUUUUUCUUAGUUUUUUAACUAAAAUAGUUUGGCAGUGAGCGAUUCUUAUUAGGGGAAGGUGUGUUGUAAAGGAUGAUCCGCCUAUUAAUUUACUUUUAUUAUGUUGGUGUAUAUCUGGUUUAAUAUUAUUGUUUAAUAACUGAAUUUGUGUAUAUUUAUUUAAGCCAAGUCUAUGUGCUGCUUGUAAAAGAUUUCAUGCGUUACAUUUAUAGUUAUAAAUUAUGAGAAUUUAAUUUUUAAUUAGGACUUAAAAGUAAUAUAGAAUGAUUUUGUCUAUGUGAAAAAGGUUUAGCUCAGGUACACACCGCCCGUCACCCUCGGUUA
rnacentral:rRNA from 1 species